UGAGUAUGUACGAGCCAAUCCAUAUUUCAUUCAGAAUCUUUAACAUUUCUUUAAGCUAGUCCAAGGAUGGUACUCUAACGAAAGUAAAUCUCCUGCCUCUUCUUGAAAGCUUGUUUGGAAUAUAAAUGUCAGAGAUACUGCCAAGCUUCGAAAAGGAAUUCCAUAAGCCCUGUGUAUUUGCGCUUAAAGGGAAGUUUUCAAG
rnacentral:misc_RNA from 1 species